rnacentral:rRNA from 1 species
AUUGAACGCUGGCGGCAUGCCUUACACAUGCAAGUCGAACGGUAACGGGCCUUCGGGUGCCGACGAGUGGCGCACGGGUGCGUGAUACAUCGGAACGUGCCCGAUCGUGGGGGAUAACGAGGCGAAAGCUUUGCUAAUACCGCAUACGAUCUACGGAUGAAAGCAGGGGACCGCAAGGCCUUGCGCGGACGGAGCGGCCGAUGGCAGAUUAGGUAGUUGGUGGGAUAAAAGCUUACCAAGCCGACGAUCUGUAGCUGGUCUGAGAGGAUGAUCAGCCACACUGGGACUGAGACACGGCCCAGACUCCUACGGGAGGCAGCAGUGGGGAAUUUUGGACAAUGGGCGCAAGCCUGAUCCAGCCAUGCCGCGUGCAGGAUGAAGGCCUUCGGGUUGUAAACUGCUUUUGUACGGAACGAAAAGCCUUCUUUUAAUACAGGAGGGUCAUGACGGUACCGUAAGAAUAAGCACCGGCUAACUACGUG